UACGGAGGGUGCAAGCGUUAAUCGGAAUUACUGGGCGUAAAGCGUGCGUAGGCGGUUCGUUAAGUCUGUUGUGAAAGCCCCGGGCUCAACCUGGGAAUGGCAAUGGAUACUGGCGAGCUAGAGUGUGUCAGAGGAUGGUGGAAUUCCCGGUGUAGCGGUGAAAUGCGUAGAGAUCGGGAGGAACACCGGUGGCGAAGGCGGCCUUCUGGACGAUGACUGACGCUGAGACGCGAAAGCGUGGGGAGCAAACAGG
rnacentral:rRNA from 1 species